rnacentral:snRNA from 1 species
AUACGCGACGGGGUAUUG